AGAGUUUGAUCCUGGCUCAGGACGAACGCUGGCGGCGUGCUUAACACAUGCAAGUCGAGCGAUGAAGCUCCUUCGGGAGUGGAUUAGCGGCGGACGGGUGAGUAACACGUGGGUAACCUGCCUCAUAGAGGGGAAUAGCCUUUCGAAAGGAAGAUUAAUACCGCAUAAGAUUGUAGUACCGCAUGGUACAGCAAUUAAAGGAGUAAUCCGCUAUGAGAUGGACCCGCGUCGCAUUAGCUAGUUGGUGAGGUAACUGCUCACCAAGGCGACGAUGCGUAGCCGACCUGAGAGGGUGAUCGGCCACAUUGGGACUGAGACACGGCCCAGACUCCUACGGGAGGCAGCAGUGGGGAAUAUUGCACAAUGGGGGAAACCCUGAUGCAGCAACGCCGCGUGAGUGAUGACGGUCUUCGGAUUGUAAAGCUCUGUCUUUAGGGACGAUAAUGACGGUACCUAAGGAGGAAGCCACGGCUAACUACGUGCCAGCAGCCGCGGUAAUACGUAGGUGGCAAGCGUUGUCCGGAUU
rnacentral:rRNA from 1 species